rnacentral:tRNA from 1 species
CUGUAGCUCAGUGGUAGGGCACUUGCCUAGCAUGCAUGAAUCCCUGAGUUUGAUUCCCAGUAG